UCCCCCUGGUCGGCUCCUCUCUGGGCAGGUCCCCGGGUCUCUGGGCCGAGGGGCGACCACGGGCUCUGGGCAGAGUGGGAACGAGCUCUCUCUGUGAGGUUCCUCUUCUGAGACAGUGAGUCUUGGGCUCCUCCCCAGCUUCCGCGGGUCUCCCCGCAGCCCCACCUCCCACUGGGCUUCCCGUUCCCUCUUCAGACCCAGGACGCCCAGACACCCCGGGUCUGAGAGAUGCGGCCCCUGUUGCUGCUGCCGCUGCUGUGGGCAGGGUCCCUGGCUCGGCACCUGAGCUACCUGCUGGACGUGCAGGAGACCGUGACGGUGCAGGAGGGCCUGUGUGUCCGCGUGCCCUGCUCCUUCUUCCAUUCUUGGAUCUCCUGGUCUGCGCCUGUUCACGGCUACUGGUUCCGCCAAGGGCCACAUCCCUCCUGGGACACCCUCGUGGCCACAAACAACCCAGCUCCUAAAGUGCGGGAGGAGACCCGGGGCCGAUUCCACCUCCUCUGGGACCCGCGGAACAAGAGCUGCUCCCUGGACAUCAGAGACGCACAGACGAGGGACACCGGGACAUACUUCUUCAGGGUGGAGGGCAGUCCUAACGUGGGACAUAGCUACUUAGAGAACAAGCUCUCUGUGCCGGUGACGGCUGUGACCCAGACACCUGAUAUCGGGGUCCAGGGGACCCUGGAAUCUGGCCGCCCCGGGAUCAUCACCUGUGCCCUGCCCACGGCCUCUGAGUGGUGCACACCCCCCACCUCUCCUGGAUGGGGGCCGCCCUCCGCUCCCUGCGGUCCAGGCCCCCCACCUCCUCAGUGCUGACCUUCACCCCGGGGCCCAGGGACCACGGCACAGACCUCACAUGUCGAGUGGCCUUCCCCGGAGCUGGAGCCGGCGUGAGCUUCCAGAGCACCAUCAGGCUGAACGUGUCAUAUGCUCCAGAGAAUCUGACCGUCCACGUCUUCCGGGGAAAGAGCACAGUCCCGGAGAUCCUGGGCAACGGCACCUCCCUGCAUGUCCCGAGGGUCAGUCCCUGCGCCUGGUCUGUGAUGCUCAUGGCAGCUCCCCCACCAGGCUGAGCUGGACCCAGGGGAGCCUGACCCUGAGCCCCUCCCAGCCCCUGGAUCCCGGGGUCCUGGAGCUGCCCCGCAUGGUCUUGGGGGACGGAGGGGAGUUCACCUGCUGAGCUCAGCACCGGAGCGUCUCGUACCAUGUCUCCUUGAACCUAGUCAUGCAGGGUGAGCGGACCUGCGCCUCUCAUGGGAAGUCUGAUGACGGGCCCCCACGUUCCAAGCUGCAUCUGCAAACUACACCACAGCUCAUGGCAACACUGGAUCCCUAACCCACUGAGCAAGGCCAGGGAUAGAACCUGCGUCCUCAUGGUUCCUAGUCGGAUUCAUUUCUGCUGCACCACAACAGGAACUCCUGGGUUCCGAGACCAGCUCAGCAGGUUGGGGCUGAAGAACGGGUGCUGUGAAACGUAAGGAAUAAAGUUAACAUCAAACAAGACACAGAGACAUUUAUCUUAAGUAAAGGUGGGAACCGGGGUACUCAAGGUCUCAGGGACCCAGAGCGCCGCCUCAAGAAACCACACUGCUUUGGUUGUGCUCUUGAGGAGGACGUCAAGUGAGGAGGGCGUUGCAGGUGCAGGAUAUAGGGGGUUUUUUAAGUUAUUUUUUUAAGUCACAGAGCCAGUUGCUGAUUAAGCUUUUAUUUUGACCUUGAGGCAUUUAACAAUCAUCAGCAUUUGAGGAAGCUUGGCGUCAGCUCUCUAUGCAUAGCAUCUAGAGAAUCACCCUUGUGCUUCUGCAAACAGCGUGCCUAUCUGCAGCAACCUGGGCGGUGCCUAGGUUUGCACCUCGGUUCUCCUUGCUCAUGCAUCGCCUGCUAACGACCCCUCAUAAACCCCUUGGGGCCAUGAGGCUCAUCUUCCUCUUAUUCUUUAGAGGACAUAGCAUGCUGUACACAUGGCGGGCCUGGACCAAGGCAUUCUGUCCUCAUUCAGCUGACCCCAUGCAUGGCUUAUGCCUUUAGGUCUUUGUGCUUAAGCUUAAGUCAUUUACUGGCACUGCGACUGUUUUCCAAGCAGGAAGAUGGGGUGAAGGAAAGCAGGACAAGAUGGAGUUUUCAGCAUAGAAACCAGAAGCAAAGAGGCUAAGAAAAGAUUGCGGAAACCUGUCUCGAGACACCUGGGGAGUUUCUUGUGGGUGUAGCGGUUUAAGGAACCAGUGCCGUCACGGAAGCUUCUCAGGUCACUACUGUGGCACAGGUUCGAUCCCUGAUCCAGGAACUUCCAUUUGCCUGAGCACAGCCAAAAACAAUUCCCUCGCUGCUGCCUCCCAGGAAUGCACUUCUGGUUCCAGCCGAAGGCUGCUGAUCCUCCGUGUGCAAACCCUGAGAACAACACCAAUGACCUUUUGCUUUAAGAUCACCCUGCCUUUUUUCCUCGGGUUUAUUUCAAAUCUGAGACGGCAGUGCGGGCUCUCUGGAGUAUCAUUUUCCUUUGGCCGGAAGACCCUGUCAUCUGUUUUUCUGGUGUCGGGGUGCAGGUGAUGAACUACUGCAGCCGGUGUUUGUCUGGAGACAUGUUUGCUUAUGAGAGCUUCGGAAAGAUGGGUUUUGGGCACCAGCUGUUCUAGGUUAACAUUUUCCCCCCUUUCUGUUGUUCACAUUUUUCUGGUUUGCCUCAUCUUAGGCAGAUCCUGCUGUUACUUUCCUCUUUAUUUCUUCCCUGUCUUUCAUAGUUUUCUCUGCCUGGUUUAAUACUGUCUCUUUUUCAGGGGGUUUAGAUAAUUUGAUUAAUACGUGCCUUGGUGUGUAAGUAUGUGUGUGUGCUGAUAUGUGAGAGAGACAGAGACAAAAUUACCCUCCUUGCAGUGUGCUAAGUAUCUUGCGUCUACAAACUUAAAAGUUGUGAUCAAAUUUGUCGACAUUGAAGCUGCUGUUUAUUUAAAUACAUACAUAUUUUUCCUA